AUCGCUUCUCGGCCUUUUGGCUAAGAUCAAGUGUAGUAACAAAGCCAAAUUUGGAAGCAGACAUAAAUCGUUUCUCCAAGACCACAAUUAGGUUCUAGCAGAAAGACCCGAACUGCUAUUCAACUGCAGCACUAGAGUUGCCCUGUUAACCAAUU
ensembl:snRNA U2 U2 spliceosomal RNA